rnacentral:rRNA from 1 species
GCUGGCGGCGUGCUUAACACAUGCAAGUCGAACGAGCCUUCGGGCUAGUGGCGGACGGGUGAGAAACGCGUGGGAAUCUGCCCUCAGGAGGGGGAUAACGGCCGGAAACGGCCGCUAAUACCCCAUAUGCCGAGAGGUGAAACGAAUUUCGCCUGAGGAUGAGCCCGCGUCUGAUUAGCUAGUUGGUGGGGUAAGAGCCCACCAAGGCGACGAUCAGUAGCUGGUCUGAGAGGAUGAUCAGCCACACUGGGACUGAGACACGGCCCAGACUCCUACGGGAGGCAGCAGUGGGGAAUUUUCCGCAAUGGGCGAAAGCCUGACGGAGCAACGCCGCGUGAGGGAUGAAGGCCUCUGGGCUGUAAACCUCUUUUCUCAAGGAAGAAGACAUGACGGUACUUGAGGAAUAAGCCACGGCUAAUUCCGUGCCAGCAGCCGCGGUAAUACGGGAGUGGCAAGCGUUAUCCGGAAUUAUUGGGCGUAAAGCGUCCGCAGGCGGCCUUGUAAGUCUGUCGUUAAAGCGUGGAGCUCAACUCCAUUUAAGCGAUGGAAACUACAAGGCUGGAGUGUGGUAGGGGCAGAGGGAAUUCCCGGUGUAGCGGUGAAAUGCGUAGAUAUCGGGAAGAACACCAGUGGCGAAGGCGCUCUGCUGGGCCAUAACUGACGCUCAUGGACGAAAGCCAGGGGAGCGAAAGGGAUUAGAUACCCCUGUAGUCCUGGCCGUAAACGAUGAACACUAGGUGUCGGGGGAAUCGACCCCCUCGGUGUCGUAGCCAACGCGUUAAGUGUUCCGCCUGGGGAGUACGCACGCAAGUGUGAAACUCAAAGGAAUUGACGGGGGCCCGCACAAGCGGUGGAGUAUGUGGUUUAAUUCGAUGCAACGCGAAGAACCUUACCAGGGUUUGACAUCCUGCGAAUCCCUUGGAAACGAGGGAGUGCCUUCGGGAGCGCAGAGACAGGUGGUGCAUGGCUGUCGUCAGCUCGUGUCGUGAGAUGUAGGGUUAAGUCCCGCAACGAGCGCAACCCACGUCUUUAGUUGCCAGCAUUAAGUUGGGCACUCUAGAGAGACCGCCGGUGAUAAACCGGAGGAAGGUGUGGAUGACGUCAAGUCAUCAUGCCCCUUACAUCCUGGGCUACACACGUACUACAAUGCUACGGACAAAGGGCAGCAAGCUCGCGAGAGUAAGCAAAUCCCAUAAACCGUGGCUCAGUUCAGAUCGUAGGCUGCAACUCGCCUACGUGAAGGAGGAAUCGCUAGUAAUCGCAGGUCAGCAUACUGCGGUGAAUACGUUCCCGGGCCUUGUACACACCGCCCGUCACACCAUGGAAGUUGGCCAUGCCCGAAGUCGUUACUCCAACCCUUGUGGAGGAGGACGCCGAAGGUGGGGCUGAUGACUGGGGUGAAGUCAACAAGGUA